AGUGAACGCUGGCGGUAGGCCUAACACAUGCAAGUCGAACGGCAGCACAGUAAGAGCUUGCUCUUACGGGUGGCGAGUGGCGGACGUGUGAGGAAUACAUCGGAAUCUACUUUUUCGUGGGGGAGAACGUAGGGAAACUUACGCUAAUACCGCAUACGACCUACGGGUGAAAGCAGGGGAUCUUCGGACCUUGCGCGAUUGAAUGAGCCGAUGUCGGAUUAGCUAGUUGGCGGGGUAAAGGCCCACCAAGGCGACGAUCCGUAGCUGGUCUGAGAGGAUGAUCAGCCACACUGGAACUGAGACACGGUCCAGACUCCUACGGGAGGCAGCAGUGGGGAAUAUUGGACAAUGGGCGCAAGCCUGAUCCAGCCAUACCGCGUGGGUGAAGAAGGCCUUCGGGUUGUAAAGCCCUUUUGUUGGGAAAGAAAAGCAGCAGGUUAAUACCCCGCUGUUCUGACGGUACCCAAAGAAUAAGCACCGGCUAACUUCGUG
rnacentral:rRNA from 1 species